GUUGUUGUAUAAAGCGAGUGUUGCUGCUCCAAGGUGAAAUAGUGAAUCGUCGGUCACCGCUGAGCACGUGCCUUUGGAUACAGUGGAAAGUGUUUGUUACUGCUUGUGGAAAAGGCACUGUAGCCUUAUUAUUUUGCUUGUAUUGUUUUCAUUCUCGGUCCGAUUUCUAGAAUACACUAAACAUUAAGUGAACGAAUCCUAAUUGCAGUGAUCGGAAAAAAAGACUAGAUUUUAAAACUUACUGAUAAUAAGUGAACACGGUGAAUAAUACAGCGAGAAAUAUCGAAUAUUGACAGCGAAGGACAACACAACAAAAAACACUGGAGAGAGGAGAUCGCUUGGUGACGAAGGGCUCUUCCAAGGCAGAUGAUUCAAAGUUCAUCUCUGAAAAGGUAUGU